rfam:Microgenomates bacterium GW2011_GWB1_45_17 TX00_C0006, whole genome shotgun sequence.
AACAAAAACACAGGUCCGUGCAAACUCGAAAGAGGACGUAUACGGGCUGAAACCUGCCCAGUGCCGGAAGGUUAACUGCGAGAGUGGUACCCGCAAGGGUACUGCUUUCAAUUGAAGCCCCGGUGAACGGCAGCAGUAACUAUAACUGUUCUAUGGUAUCAAAACGUUGCCAUAGUAAAAUUGCGCUGUAUGCUGGAAAAUCUGUAACACAAAGAUGGUAUCUUUAGUGUUUUAGAAGGAUGGCUAGUUGAUAUUCGGUAAAUAUUUGGGUAUUAUAAAAGUGAUGCCCAAUAUUUCUUCAACUGACAAUGCCAUACCUGCAGAAAACCAGCAGGAAACGAGUAAAGUCGAUAAUUUUUAUAUUUCAGGAUUUUGCGCCGGAGAAAUGUCUUGUUCUGUUAUCAAACAGUCAAGACCAUAUGGGUCUGGAUUUUCAUAUAGUCCAGAUCUCACAGUUUCUAAUGAAGACCUUUAUCUUUUAGCAAAAGUGAAUGCACGUUUAUGUAAUAGUAGGGGAGUUAUUUCACCCAUUCAUGGAGGAUAUAACUUAAGUAUGCGUGGAAAGAAAAAAGUUGCUUUAGCGCUUUCUUUCUUUUCACAAUACCCAAUUAUUGCAGGAGAUAUUGCAAACGCUAAAAUUUCAUUGCUUCAACAAGCAAUGAAUAUUUUAUCUGCAAAAGGAAAAAGCACUCGUAGAAAUAUGAGUGAGGUUGAAGAAAUUGAACAUAUUCGAGCAAAUUUGAAAUUAUUAAAAAAAGAAGGACUUUCUGUCACUCAAAUGACUUUUCAUGAAAGAAGAUAUUCGAGACAAGAACUUGGAUUCUUCUUAUGUGGAAUAUUUGACGCAGAAGGCUCUGUUGGUUUGAAAAAACGUAACAAUACAUAUCAACCCUACUUUACAGUAGGAAUGAAGGAUUAUGGGAUAAUUACAUUAUUUCGAUUCUUCUUCAAAGUCGGAUUUGUAUAUGAACGUAAAGACGAGAAACUUUUUGUAUACGAAACUGGAAAACGAUCGGACGUUGUUCGAUUGCUUCGGAUAUUUUCUGAAGACUUUCCUUUUCAAUUACAAAAGAAUCGUAUCAAACGUGAUCGAUUGAAUCGGAUCCUCAACGACUAUACGCGUAACGCCAAAGAAUUACCGUUGUACAUAAAUGACAACAAACCUCUUUGGUGAAGGGAUAGUCUGAUCUCAUGGGCGACCAUGAGAGAGCGGCAGAAAUGACCGCGCUAGCUCAACACGAGCUAUAACAAAAAAGAUUGAUAAGUCAAUCAAAUCAGCGAAAUACCUUGUCGCUUAAUUGGCGACGCGCAUGAAAGGAACAACGAGUCUCCAACUGUCUCGAACCAUUACUCGGCGAAAUUGAAAUGGCUGUGAAGAUGCGGCCUACUGGCAGUAGGACAAAAAGACCCCAUGAAGCUUUACUAUAGCUUGGCACUGAUGUUUUAUUCGGGAUUGUCUAGGAUAGGCGGGAGUGUGUGCCGCAAGGUACAUACAACAGUGUAAUACCGCUCGUUUCGUAUAAAAUAUCUCACCCAAUUCGCCUGCAAACGGCGAAGGGAACACUGUCUGGCGGGUAGUUUAACUGGGGAGGUUGCUUGCUAAAGAGUACCGCAAGCGCGCAAUGGUAUCCUUGGCCCGGAUGGAAAUCGGGCUGGAAGUGCAACGGCAUAAGGAUGCUUGACUGUGAGGCAAACAGGCCGAGCAGGUGCGAAAGCAGGUCAUAGUGAUCCUCGUGUACUUUGUGGAAGGUACCGGGCUUAACGGAUAAAAGCUACUCUGGGGAUAACAGAGUCAUCGCGCCUAAGCGUCCCUAGCGACGGCGCGGUUUGCUACCUCAAUUAACAUCGGGGUCCCAUUCUAGCAAUAGGAUGGUGCUGUUUCUGUUCUGUGUGUGAUUACUCAAGCAC